rnacentral:lncRNA from 12 species
GCCAAAAUCCCAAUGUUGGUAAGGUGACAGCUCUUCCUAAAUUGGUCUCUAGACACAGGGCGCCAGCCAUCUGAAUCUCAGGAGCUUCUUUCCUUAGUAGAACUUGCCACAGUGGUUACAAAAUUCAUGGUGAUUGUGGCAACACAAAGGACCCACAGGGAAACAAAGAACUCUGAGAAGAAGAAAAAAAUUGGAGGAGCCCCUGUCCGUGGGCUCUAGACUCGUUACAAAGCUUCUGCAACUAGAUGGUGUGGAGUUGACAUCAGGAGAGAAAAAUAAGUCUGAAGACAGAACACAGAGUGUGGAAAUCGACCUCUACUUGCGAACAAGUGAUUUCAAGUAAUGCUUCAAGGUGUCCAGUGGAGUCCAGAAGGACAGUCUUCUCAAUGCUGGUUGGUAGCCAGCGACAAUUGGCUACUCACCUGCCAAAAAAUAAAAUCCGUUCAUGGCUUGCAUGGUACACAGAAAUUAAAAUGCAUCAGAUCUAGGUGUAUGCACGAAAUUAGAAACCUCUAGAAGAAACUACAGAGGAGGUCUUUGCGAACGUGGUCGGUCAAAGACUUCUAGACGCAGCCCCAGAAGUGUGAUCUGGAAAAGAACAAAUUGAUCAAUUAGAUGCCGCCAAAAUUAAAAUCUGCGGCUUCAGCUCUUCAGAAGACACGGUGGAGAGAAGGAAAAGACAAGCACACAGAUGGGGGGGAAUAUUUGCAAGCCACCGAUCUGAGAGAGGGCUCACGGCCAGAAUGUAAAAAUAACUCCCAAAGCUCAAAUGAGGAGGAAAAAACAUCCCAAUUUAAAAAUGGGCAAAAACCGAACAGUCACUUCCCUGAAACGUACAGAUGGAAAAUGAGGCAGCGAGUCCCGGGAAAUCAGGGCCACAGCUCGCCCUCGUCAGAGAGAGCCGUAAUUACAAGGACGGGCUCUGGCGGGCUCUGGCGAGCAGCUCCCCCUUCCAGGAGCUUAUGGAGAGAAGUGGGAGGCUGUGACCAAGAGGCUCACGGGCACAGGCUCGAGGUGGCAUCCCCAGGAGCAGCCCAGACCCAGACACGCCCAGAGGCCCCCCGACAGGUGGCGGGACACGCGCAAGAACCUGCACGAAUCUCGAGAUGACGGUGAGAAAGCCAGAUGUAUUUAACAAUUCCACUUCUCUGAAACACAGCAGCAGGGAGACCAGCGGCAGGGUGGGCCGGGUGGGGCAGGUGGCGGGAGGAGGGCGACCAAGGGCGUGAGGAACCUUUGGGGUGAUGGGUGCUUCCUUUCCUGGUUAUGCUGACGGUUUCAUGGGUGAGCACGUGUCAAAUUUUGUAACAUUAUACACUUUUUUAAAAAGAUUUUUUAAAAUUCAUUUAUUCAUGAUAGACACAGAGAGAGAGAGAGAGAGAAGCAGAGACACAGGCAGAGGGAGAGAAGCAGGCGCCACACAAAGAGGCCUAUAUGGGACUCGAACCCGGGACUCCAGGAUCACACCCUGAGCUGAAGGCAGAAGCUCAACCACUGAGCCACCCAGGCGUCCCAACAUUAUACCCUUUAAAUGCGUGUAGCCUGUUGGACCCGUAUUUGCCUCAGUAAAGCUUCCCUGAACACACACGUUUUUAUUGUGUUAAAAUGCACGCAAUAUAACAUUUACUCUCUUAACCAUGUCCAAGUGUGCACACAGCUCAGUGGCUCUAGCCCAGUCACACCGCCAUGACUGGCACCUGCAACCAGAAUUCUUCCGUUGGGUGAGUUUUAUUAGUGAAGCGGCCUUGUCUGUGUCCCACGUACACACGGGAAGGCUGCUCCCUUUCGUCUUCAGGGCUGGAUUCUCCUCCCCUCCCACGCCGUGCUCAGGGCCCGUCCACGCCAGAGUGAAGACCAUCGUCUAAGUCUCCCAGGCUUGGUUCUCAAGACUCACUGAUAUUCCCCCUCUGUCGACAAGCCUGACUUUCGAGCUGAAUGUCUUAUUGAAAAACCUUACUUUGGACAUCACAAGAUGAAGGCUAACUGCUUUGUAAUGGUUACUCUGGUGUGUCAGUUUAUUGGCAUUUGGGGUUGAGAUUAACAUUUGAGUCAGUGGACUUGGAGGAAAGCAGGUUGCCCUCCACCCAUGGGGCAGGUGGGCCUCAUCCAACCAGUCGAAGGCCUAGAGACAACCAAAGAGUGAGGGGAUAUUCUCCAGCAGACGGCCCUCUGGUUUUACCUGCGCCAUCAGGCCUCCCGGGUCAUCAGCCUGCACUGCAGAGUUGGGAUUCACCAGCCUCCGUAACUUCAUAUAUAAAUAAAUACAUAUUUGUGCAUUUGUCCA